UUUGCCGGUUGCAGUGUUCUGUUGCGGUGUGUUGUUUGGUAAAUUUGUGUUCAACAAGUUAAUUCACCUGCAGCCUCUGUUUUACGGUUAAGAGACCACUAAGCAGGAGAGGAAACUAACAAUGUGGGUUCGUCGACUGGGAUUCGUCACAAAGAAGUCUACGUGGAUGAGACGAGGAGGAAGGAACAAAGCAGCUUAACGUAGCGGGGCCUUUCCAUUUUGAAAAUUAAGCUGUGAAUAUUAAGACACUUAAAGCAACCGUGCCUGCUGUCAUAAGAGUUGUUAAAUCAAUGAAUCCUCCAUCUGACCAGUCGGUUGAGUGUCCGCCUGCAGUUCAAUCACACCAGCAGUCCGAUCCUCUGAGUAGUGAAUCCACAGGAGAAACAGAAUGACAUCAUUCACAGUAUUAAGCUGAAUGAGAAAGUUGAUGCACUGCAUCCUUGGACCGUCCCUGAAAGUGUCGGUUCCCGGACAUACCAGGAGGGAGAACAAUGUGGACACUGCUGAGAUGAUCAUCUGAAGAAUUGCCAGCUCUAAACCAGAAGUGCGGGCUAGAACCAAUUACAAGUGGUGCCUGGAAGUAAUGGGCCUUCCAGUAAAGUCACUUGAAGAACUGAAGAGUGCUAAUGACAAACGAUGGUGAGGACAAAGGAACCAGGCACCAGAGGAAUGCCCUAAUCAAUACUGACUGCAUACACCCCUGGAAUGGAACAAGGGAAGAAUAGAGUAAGAACCAUUGUCAGCGGCUGGUUGUACGCUACGGCUCCUGUUUAUCUUUAGCAGUGCUUCAGCAGCCAGGGCAAGUCAGGAACCGCCAAAGGCAGCCUUGCCAGGGACAUGCCACAAAUUUAGUACUACCAUCAUUUCUACAAUUGUGCUAUAAUCUGAAGCUGUCCUAUCCGAGCAGAAUCAAAGAAGUAUAGACAGGACCAUCCUGAACUUUUUCCGGACCCAGAUUACAGGUUUGAGAAACUAACAUUUUUUCUAAUAGAUGCUAUGAAUCUUGCAAAUUUGUGUUUUUUUUUGGGGGGGGGGGGGGGGCGGCAGCCAGUCACAUUAGAGAGGCACUGUGACGUCUGGUCUCUCUCUGGCUGCUAAUCCGACAUUAUGGAAUCUGUUCCAAAACUGCUUCAUUUUGGUGUAUCUAUCAUAUAUUAUGCUCUCAAAAAUGUUGUGUGUGUUCAAUUGCAUUGUCGUAUCUGACUAAUGUCAUAGUGAGUCUUCAAAUGUAUGUGAUUAAAAAACAGAAUAUUUUUUCAUAUGAAUUGUCUCAGUAAAUGUAUUUAUCAUAAUGUGUUUGUGUUAAAAUUGUCAACAGUUUUAGUCUUAAAUAUGAUGAUGUAUUAUUAAUUUUUUCUGUCCAUAACUAUCAUAAAUAUGGCCAUGCAUAACUUGUGAGUGUAAUAAACUGUUGAUGCAAUUGAUAUUAAUAAAUUGUUGAAAAAUGAUUUUUCUUGUGCUUUGUAUUGAAACAGAUCACUGUGAAGAACAUAUGUGAGUCAAUGUCAGAGAACAAUGUUCAAAACGAUGUUGUUUCAACUUACAAAUACAAUCAAAAAUCAACGUUGUUUCGUCUGCCCUGUAUGUUGUUUCAAUGUGGAUUCAACGUAUU